AUUCGCGAACUAUGCGGUCGCCAUACGAUGAUUUCUCCGUCGUGUCGGACAGUGGUGAAGAGGCUAGAGCCACCAGGUACAACUACAGCAACACCAACAAUAGUGCCAUACCAUAUCACGCGCGUGAAAAUUCGUUGCCAUUUAGUUACGGCCAAAUAAAUAAGUCAUCGACGCCAUUGCGCAGUACAAGUGUUGGCACUGGAACUGGUGGACUCUAUCGUAGUCAACAUGGCGUUGGUGAGGGUUCUAGCGGUGCUCUUGAUUUCGGUUUCGGUUCAAGUUCAUCGCCGUCGAAAGCGGAUGUGAAUUUCAAUUUAGGCACUGAUCAUUAUUACGGUACUAAUUACAAAAGUGCAAACAACAACGGAUUAACAGCUACAUUAAAAUCAACAACAGCAAAUACAAAAGCAUCGGCAUCGGGAAGUAGCGCGGACACGGCAAAUCCUAUUAAAGCGCAACCACGUCUCACCAGUCCAAUAUUGGUGCGCAAAACGCUCAAUAGCCGAUCACCUACGCGCAACGGAGCCACCAAUACGAACACAAUUUCCAACACAUACCACUACAAAUAUGGAAGCGACAAUGGCAGCGCUUUCAACGCUACCGCCGGCAGCAGCAGCGGCCACGACAACACUUUGAAUGGCAACAUCGGCGGCUACAACAACGGCUACGGUAGCACCAGGAGAUAUAACAACAACGACUACAUGUAUGGCAGCAACAGUAGCAACAAUUUUGAUGUUGGCGAUGCUAUCGACGGCAGCAUCCACGUUCGCAAAACUCAGCCACGCGAUGAUUUUGAGGAGCUAUUGCGCGAGCGUCGUGAAAAGGUGUUACGGGAGCAUUACCGAUCGGCCGGAUCAACACCAAUGUCUAAUGGUGGCGGCGGUAGCUUGGGCACCUCACCAAAUUCGCGUAAAUUCAACUAUGAUUUCGAGAUAAAUUUAAAUUUGGAUGAUGCGCCAGCGCCCCCACGUCGCGCUCACACCAUAGAUCGAACGUCAUUGCAACAGCUGCAGCAAUAUCGCACUCGGGAUAUUCCAGUUAUGCGCGAGGCCGCCACACCAACGGCCAAUGCAACAUAUGUGGAACGUAAUUAUCACACAAUUAGCUCCUCGAAUGCCAGUCGAGAGGCAGGCGGCCCGUUCGCAGCUGCUCAGCAACAAUCGCGAACACAGCAGCAGCGGCAACAACCGCAAGAACCGCAGCAACAGCAAUUCGAAUCGCUUUACAGUACGGUGGAGCGGCGUGUAGUGAAACCGUCGCAGAGGCAAUAUUCGCCAUCAUUGUCUCCAACGCAACUGCAGCAACAGCGGCGGCCAGAGUAUGCCGCAUAUGGCAAUGGAAAUGCGCCUGGUUAUGGCUUUGACAGCGGCAACGAGUAUGCAACAAAUAAUCGUAGCUCAUUGGGGGCCGCCGUUGUUGCACGCAGCCGUAACGACUUGUCAUCGCCCAUUUAUGCCACGACGAGUAAGCAAGUCACCACAGCUACGAGCACAUAUCAAAGCCGCAAUACAAUCGAACCAGAAUUGUCAAUUACGGAUCACCAGAUGGCGUCGUCACUGUCGUUGCCAGUUAGCCCAGCGUUAACUGCGACUGCGGCCACGAAUGCGGUUGGGGCUGGCAAGAUUUCACCUUCGCCAUUACAUGUCGCACGCCCCGAAACGCCCGCGUUUCCCGUUACGCCACGCACGCCACAUGGUGCAUACAAUGGCCAAAACAGCCCCAUGGGCUAUUCGCACAGCCCAGUACCGCAGCGUCCCGACUUGCCAAAUGGAAAAUCAAUGCUCGACUUGCACAACUACUCCUCGGAGACCAUUUACCGGACGAGUUGUCGUCCACGCCUUGACUCCAACAUGUCAUUGGUGAAUAGUGAACCGCAGGAGGUUGCUGCACAUCUGGUCAAAUUUGCCAAAGACUCGUCCAAAUACUGGUAUAAACCGAAUUUGUCACGCGAAGAAGCCGUACAAUUGUUGCUGCACGCUGAACCAGGCACAUUUAUUGUACGCAACUCAACCACAUAUAAGGACAACUAUGGUUUGGUAGUGCGUGUACAUCAACCACCCCCAAACAGCGAACUUACCGGUCAACCCGACGAUUUGGUACGCCACUUCCUCAUAGAGCCCACGAAACACGGCGUCCGCUUGAAGAGCUGCGCCAAUGAGCCAGUUUUCACAUCUCUUUCGGCACUCAUCUACGAGCAUUCAAUCAACAAAUUGGCCUUGCCGUGUUUGCUACGUAUACCUGAUCACGAUUUGGUACCAUCGUUAAUUGAGCCGACAAGUGCGCAAAAACAACUACUGAUGCAAGGUGCCGCCUGCAAUGUACUGUGGCUCUACUCAUGUGACACCGAAUCUCUGACUGGCGAGGAGGCCAUCCGUAAAGCCAUACGUCAGCUGUACGCCCAACAACCGUUACCCAUACCAACAGAGGUGCACUUCAAGGUGACUCAGCAAGGAAUUACGCUCACCGACAAUACGCGAAAGAAGUUUUUCCGGAAACACUAUCCCGGCGAAAGCAUCUCGUUUUGUGCCAUAGAUCCAGAUCAUCGUCUCUGGGCCAUUCAGUUGACGGAGGAGGACGGCAGUGUCAAGAAUACCACCGCUGUUGGAGCGCUCAAGAAAACCAUAUUUGCUUUUGUGGCGCGCAAUUCACCAAAAUCGAAAGAUAAUCAAUGCCAUGUUUUUUGUGAUUUGGAUAUUCAUCAACCAGCUUCGGCUAUCGUGUCGUUCGUCAAUAAAACUCUACCAACGGAGAAGGAACGUAAUUUUGUGCUCUGAGGGUGGGCGAAUGCGAAAAAGGGGACACUCUUGGAUAAUGGACAACCUGUCCAAGCACCUACACACCAAUCAAUCAAUCAAUCAAUCCAUCAAUAAAUAAGGAAAAAUAUAUAUUGCAAUUGUCCGCACACGCACACACACACAUUUUAUGAAAUAGUACCUAAUUGUACCUGUAGAAGACUACUUAAGCACCAGAUAUAUGCGACGAUAUUUGUAUACAGACCGAUACGAGAGCACUUGCCACCAAUCAGUCACAGAAAGGCGCUGCACGCGGUCAUCUACGCACAAGUCAUCCCCAAUCAUCCUCGAAUUUAUCGGAGUUCAUGCAAAACUAUGUAAUCGUAAUCGUAACCUUUAUUCCCACAGAGCCGCAGCUAAAUAUUUUGUUUACACUGAUAUUGCAUAGCGUAAUGCAUAUACAACCAAUCCAUACCUACAUGCUUGAAAGUAUAAAGAAAUACAUGGAAGCAGCAAACAAAAUCGGCAAGCUUUGACAACAACUAAACUACGACGGCGAAAUAAAUAUAGACCGCAAUGAAAUGAGCUAAUCAACCAGAUAUAAAAUAUAGAUAUGUAUGGUAUACAAGCACAUGCACACAUACGUAUGUAUGUAUGUAUAUCAAAUGCAAAAUACGUACAAAUAGAAUUAUCAAAAAUUAUGAAAGUAUAAUAUGCUUACACACAUAGCACAUACAUACAUACACUAUAUUUAUGACGUAUGCAGUGUAAGAUGAUGAAAGCACGAAAUAAUAAUAAAAAAAAAAUCGAAAUCACUCAUACGACAUGUUGGGACCGCACAAAUGAGCGAUCGAUGUUUAAAUGUUUCUUAAUUUACAGCUGCUAACCUUACUUCGUUCGAGACAAUAAAUGACAAAUAGCAUCAGGAAGGGAUCAAUAUUGAAAGAAAUAUAUUUUAUUUUCACUCCGAUACAUGCAAUAAUUGAAAUUAUUGCUUUUUAAUGCAAAUUUAUUAAAAUAAAAGUGUGCUUUUGCAAAAAAAGUUGAUAAUAUUUUAUUAUAACUAAUUUGAGAUGAGCACAUAAAAGAUGGUGGGCCUCUCUUUCCUAACUAUUUAAAAUUAAAAAAAAAUUCUUAAAGAUGGUUGUAAGUAAUUUCCUA